UUUAUACUCCCUCCGUCCCAAAAUUCUUGUCUUAAAUUUGUCUAGAUACGGAUGUAUCUAACACUAAAAUGUAACUAGAUACAUCCGUAUUUAGAAAAAUUUAAGACAAGAAUUUUGGAAUGGAGGGAGUAUGUA
rnacentral:pre_miRNA from 1 species